UGUAAGCGUAUACCAAAGUUGUGGCAGUUAAAACGCUCGUAGUCGGAAUUUGGCAGUUCCGGAUGUGUGCACGUCGUGUGCGCACUUCGCGGGGAUUGCUUUUGUGGUCUUGCGUAGGAUGAGGCACUUUUAUUAGUGAACGUCCUCACGCAACCACUUUUUACUGUGAGAAAAUCAGAGUGCUCAAAGCAGGCAUUUGCCGUGAAUGUAUUAGCAUGGAAUAAUAGAAUAGGACUUGGUUCUAUUUUGUUGGUUUGUUGGGACUGAGUAAUGAUUAAGAGGGACAGUUGGGGGCAUUUGUAUUUCGGUGCUAGAGGUGAAAUUCUUAGAUUACCGAAAGACAAACUGCUGCGAAAGCGUCUGCCAAGGAUGUUUUCAUUGA
rnacentral:rRNA from 1 species